GAUGAACGCUGGCGGCGUGCUUAACACAUGCAAGUCGAACGAUGAUGCCCAGCUUGCUGGGUGGAUUAGUGGCGAACGGGUGAGUAACACGUGAGUAACCUGCCCUUGACUCUGGGAUAAGCCUGGGAAACUGGGUCUAAUACCGGAUACGACCAUCUGGCGCAUGUCAUGGUGGUGGAUAGCUUUUGUGGUUUUGGAUGGACUCGCGGCCUAUCAGCUUGUUGGUGGGGUAAUGGCCUACCAAGGCGACGACGGGUAGCCGGCCUGAGAGGGUGGCCGGCCACACUGGGACUGAGACACGACCCAGACUCCUACGGGAGGCAACGGUGGGGAGUAUUGCACAAUGGGCGCGAGCCUGAUGCAGCGACGCCGCGUGAGGGAUGACGGCCUUCGGGUUGUGAACCUAUUUCAGUAGAGAAGAAGCGAAAGUGACGGUACCUGCAGAAGAAGCGCCGGCUAACUACGUG
rnacentral:rRNA from 1 species